GGACAUAUAACUCAGUUGGUUAGAGUACCACGUUGACAUCGUGAAAGCCACUGGUUCGAAUCCAGUUAUGUCCA
rnacentral:tRNA from 1 species